GCUUGGUCUUCGGCAGUUCCAACUUUGGCAAAGGGAAAGGGCGGGGACGGGGCUCAGGCAGGUGCCAAGUGGAGCCUGCCCGUCCUAUCUAGAACCGAGAGUCGGAGGGGAAGCAAGUGAGAGAAAAGACCCUGACAUAAUGUUUGGAAUUCUCUAUCAAGCUGCAAAAUAUCUGGGGAUUAGACUUGUGCUAAGUUUGUACAGGAUGGCUAGAGAUGGGCAGAAAUGUCACCUAUUUCAUGGAACUUUACAGAAGUAAUUUCCCUUUUGAGGAGAGAUGAACAAACUGAAGAUUUUUUUUUUUUAACUGAAGUUCAGAUACUUUGGUGCUGAAUUAAUGGACCUUGAAGAUUUUUUUUAAAGGAACAGAAAAGUAAAUACAAAUGGGAUGGCAAAUGGCAAACACUGACUGCUGAGGAGAGAUUGCUGUUUGUUAGUUUUCUCUGCAGCUGUAAAGCAACUCUUUGGUAGAGGGGAAAAAAACUUUUUAAAACAUCCAAUACAGUUUAAUGUGAAGAACUGUGUCACAACUCAAAUCGAAACUAAUAAUGGGAGGAGCUAAAUGAUAGUACAAGAGGUAUCUCCAUUCCCAACCAAUAUUGCUAGAUUAGAAAAGUAAACAUAUGAACUGCAAGGGUGAGGACAAACGGAACAACUAAGCACAAUGAGCCAUCAUUUCAUGACCUAAAGUUUUUACAAGACAUUUGGUACUCUAGGUCAGCGGUCCCCAAUCUUUGCGGCUUGGUGACCUGGCUUGGGGGAGGGGGAAGAGAGGAACCAGGUCAUGCAAGCAGUGGGCCAGCGUGCACGUGCAAAGCUCCACUUGUUUGAGGACUUGUGUGAGUGGAGCUGUGCGCACAUAUAUACAUACGCACCAGCCUGUCUCUCAGGCAGCCCGGUUCUGAAUAGGCCACAGCCUAAUAGUGGGCCGUGGCUUGGGGGUUGGUGACCCCUGUUCUAGGUAAGUACCAGAAGACAUGUCUACACAAACUGACCAGACUGCAGCUGAAUGCUAGCGACAGAAGAGCAUUUAAUCUUUUUUGCAGAUAUAACAACAGAAGAACAAAAUGGGGAAGGUCUGUCUUCUUCCUUGCUGACACUACCUAUCACACAGUACCUACUGCCUGGGACAGCCAUAAUGCUGUGCUUAACAGAAGGGCAAGGCUCGUAUAUCCAGUUGCAAAAACAGCCAGUGUAACAGAACAGGUUGCUUGGAAGAUAUCUGAUGAUGAAAAAUCAUAGCAUGGAAGUUUCCCGAAUGGGUGUUGGCCGAGUUUGGAAUCUUCAAGACUGCCUAGGAAAGGAUUCCAGAGACAUAAAAAGUGGGAGAAACACAUUCAAAGCCCGUGAAAUACCGUGUGGGACAGCCAUCCACAUUUGUUCUUCAUGUGCAGUAUAGUGAAGUAACAAAAUGGAUAGAAAUAAAAGGUUUUUAAAGCUUUC